rnacentral:rRNA from 1 species
UAGGGAAUAUUGCAAAAUGGGCGAAAGUCCGAUGCAGCAACGCCGCGUGGGCGAUGAAGGCCUUCGGGUCGUAAAGCCUUUUUUGGGGGGAUGAGGAAGGACAGUACCCUCAGAAUAAGCCUCGGCUAACUACGUGCCAGCAGCCGCGGUAAAACGUAGGAGGCGAGCGUUAUCCGGAUUUACUGGGCGUAAAGCGCGUGCAGGCGGAUUGGAGAGUUGGAUGUGAAAGCUCCCGGCUUAACUGGGAGAGGUCGUUCAAAACUACAAGACUUGAGAUUGGUAGAGGAAAAUGGAAUUCCGGGUGUAGUGGUGAAAUGCGUAGAUAUCCGGAGGAACACCAGUGGCGAAAGCGGUUUUCUGGACCAAUUCUGACACUCAGAUGCGAAAGCUAAGGUAGCAAAC